CCUACGGGGGGCAGCAGUGAGGAAUAUUGGUCAAUGGACGCUAGUCUGAACCAGCCAUGCAGCGUGAAGGAUGACUGCCCUAUGAGUUGUAAACUGCUUUUGUACGGGGGUAAAUCCCAGUACGUGUAUUGCGUUGAAAGUAUCGUACGAAUAAGGAUCGGCUAACUCCGUGCCAGCAGCCGCGGUAAUACGGAGGAUUCAAGCGUUAUCCGGAUUUAUUGGGUUUAAAGGGUGCGUAGGCGGGUUGAUAAGUUAGUUGUGAAAUCCUGGGGCUCAACUCCGACACUGCCUGUGAUAACGUCGAGCCAGGGGUUAGGUGCGGGAGGCGGAAUGUAUGGUGUAGCGGGGAAAUGCAU
rnacentral:rRNA from 1 species